GGCUGUACCACUUCCAAUGUCUGAAUAUAGCAGGACCUCUUCUGGCCUCCAGGACACUUUCACAAUUUGCAUUUUUAUCACGGCAGCAUUGAGACGGAAAAUUCCUGAAUGAACCUUUGGUGAAUGAAUGUUCACAGACUGGAUACUUGGCAGGCCUUCCCCAGUGUGUGUGGGCACAGGAUUCCUGGAGUCUGGCAGAUGCUCUCCAGGCAAGGGUCUUGCUGUGGCCCUAGGGCUGGGCACCACGGGCUGGGACCACCAGUCAAGACAGGGGAGGGGACCUCCGCCAGCAGCCGCUGCGAGGUCCCCUAGGUGGGUCCUCAGGGGAGGGGAGCUAGGGGUUCAAGCUUGACCUCCAUAAACUCCCUGCCCUCGGCUUGGGGAUGUGGCUGACUGGGUCCCCUGUUCCGAGGGCUCACCAUCCCGGAGUCUAGGGACACAUGUCCGCCAGGCCUGGCUGCUCCCCUGCUCCGGAGGAAGCGGAACCGCCCGCCUGCCCCUGGCAGCAAAUCCCGAGAACGCGGCCUGCACGGCCCUGUCGGCUGACCUCUGCACACCCGCCCAGGCGCCCAGCCAGGCCUGAUUCAUGCGCCCGCAGUGCCAGGACGCUCCGGGAGGGAGGCGGGGCGGAGCAGCGCUUCGCGGCCCUGCGCCAGGCCUGGGCCUGCGCCCUGGGCGCCGCGCUCCAAUCCAGCCUCGCACGGGUGCCAGAGGGCAGCCAGGGAGGGCGAGGGGCCUGCCCGGGGUCACCCACCAGCCAGGGAACGAGUGGGCAGCACGAGGCCCAGGCCGAAACUGGGCGCCAAGCGGCCGGGUUCCAGUCCCACUGGGGCCUACAGUUCUCGGCAAACAACCUCGGGUUCCGGCUGCAGCCUCAGGACGGGGAGCCCGGGCCAAGACUGAUGGACAUGGAGUCUACCCCCACGGGCGAGGUGGGGGCUGACAGUGACUCACUAACUGGUCCGCUGCCUGGCUUCAGAGGGGAUCGGCUGGGCCUUACCACUUCCCCGCUGGCUGACCCUGAGCAGGUGACCUGACCUCCCUGGUCCUCAGUUUCCUCAGUCUAUGAAAUGGGGACAAAACUGCUCAGAAGCAAUUUUUCAAGAACAAAAAGGUCAGCACGUCCAAGACUAAUCAAUUCUCGGAGAGCUCCUGCCGCCACCGCCGGGGGAGCUGGGGACCGGUGGCCCCCGCCCUUCCCGCCGGCCCCCUCCCGCCAGCCCCAUCACUUUUAUUGCUUCGUGAUGGCUGUCAUUAGCGGGGUGUUGGAGACGCCCCACAGUGUUCUUACAACAUAAAACCCGGGCCGCUUGCAGAGGGGGGGCCGGGCGCAUUUAUGGCCACUCGCCGACUCUGGACGGUAACAGCCGAACUGAUGGAUCGCCCGCAAGGGGAGCCAGGACAGGAAGCAUCCAGCCACUUGUUCAAAGGCUCGGCAGGCAGGCCGGAGGAGCCGGGGCCCUGCCUGCCUGCUCUCGGGCCUGGCCCGCUUUCCCUCACCCCGCCCCCCUUCACUGUGACCUUGGGCACCUGCCCCCUGCCAUCCCUUCCAGGACUUUUCCCCCUGGUCCCCGCUGCAUCCCUGCUCACGGGCAGAAUAUUCCUUCCGGAGCAUCCCCUGCCCUCAGAAUGAGGCCAAGGCCCGUCCCUUCCAACACUGUGGGGUCUGCACUCCCAUUCCAGAGGGAGAAACUGAGGCCCGGUGUCACAGAAGUAGGAAGGGGCUACAUGCAGAUUGGGUCGCAUGCACGAGCAGGUGCCUGGUGGCGAACAGGUCUGCGGUUCUAGGCUUUGCUUGUCCGUGGCCCCGGCUGUCCUCGUCCCCUGUCACCCUGCCAUCAGGUGCCCACACCAACAACAGCAGCUAAAAUGCACCGAGGCUUCCGGGCAGACCCCGCCCUUCGCGCACUUGGUAGGUGAUGCCUCUGGCUCCGGGACAGCACUGUCGUUAGCCACUCUUAUGCCCACUUUUCAGAUGAGGAAGCCCACACAGGGAGACCGAGCAGCAGACCCCAGUCCACACGGCUGGGAACAGGGGCUGGGGCCCAACUCUCUGCGUUUUGCUUUUUAAAGACUGGCUGAGGAUAUGAACUAUGCGGAAAAGGCCAAAUCCACAGGUGCCGAAGACAGACUGGUGGUGGCCGGGGACCGUGGGGAGGGGGGUGGGGAGAGACUGCGUAAUGGCCAUGAGCUUUCCUUCUGAGGGCCCGAGAAUGUUCUGGAACCAGGCAGAGGGGUUGGUUGCACAACGUUGUGGAUGUGCUAAACGCCCCUGAGCGGUACAGUGUAAAACAUGGUUGAUUUCAUGUUAUGUGAACUUCACUCCAAUAAAUUAUUUUUUAAAAAAUG